UACGAAGGGGGCUAGCGUUGUUCGGAAUUACUGGGCGUAAAGAGCGUGUAGGCUGGCUGCCAAGUCAGAUGUGAAAUCCCAGGGCUUAACCCUGGAACUGCAUUUGAAACUGGCAGCCUAGAGUAUCGGAGGGGAUGGUGGAAUUCCUAGUGUAGAGGUGAAAUUCGUAGAUAUUAGGAGGAACACCGGUGGCGAAGGCGACCAUCUGGACGAUUACUGACGCUGAGACGCGAAAGCGUGGGGAGCAAACAGG
rnacentral:rRNA from 1 species